CCUACGGGAGGCAGCAGUGAGGAAUAUUGGUCAAUGGCCGGAAGGCUGAACCAGCCAAGCCGCGUGAAGGACGAAGGUGCCAAGCAUUGUAAACUUCUUUUGUCAAGGGACAAAAUCAGGCUCGAGAGCCUGACCGAGGGUACUUGAAGAAACAGCAUCGGCUAACCUCGUGCCAGCAGCCGCGGUAAUACGGGGGAUGCGAGCGUUAUCCGGAUUUAUUGGGUUUAAAGGGUGCGUAGGCGGGCUGUUAAGUCAGCGGGAAAAGCCCGGGGCUCAACCCCGUCGAGCCGUUGAAACUGGCUGUCUUGAGAUGUCGAGAGGUAUGCGGAAUGCGCAGUGUAGCGGUGAAAUGCGUAGAUAUUGCGCAGAACUCCGAUUGCGAAGGCAGCAUACCGGCGGCGAUCUGACGCUGAGGCACGAAAGCGUGGGUAUCGAACAGGAUUAGAUACCCCUGUAGUC
rnacentral:rRNA from 1 species